AAAAAAGAAAUUGUUCACUAGAUUGCUCUCACAUAGCCAGAUCUUCAGACUGAUGGCAGAAAGCAAUGGUCCGUGGGCAUGACGUCUGAGGCUGACAUUACUUUCCUUGUGGUGAUCACAUUCCAUGCAUUAUGGAAUGAUAACUUUGCCCAUUACAGUAGUCUUAACCUUAAAAAGUUUUUUUUUUCUGCCAGUCUUCAAAUUUUGUGCUGUUUUUACCAAGUUGGAUCAGAUUUUCAGUGGUCUGAACUGCACAAAAUUCACUGAACAGAAUGCUUUUUUUAAAAAAAAGUUAAGAUGUCGACCAAAAUUUGCAUCAGAGGCUGUAUCUCGGAAAUACUUUGAUCUAUUGAAAUGAAACUUGGUAGUCAUUGUCAGCAGGGUUCAUACCAUAUUUGGAAAGAGUGUGUCCUACAGGUCAUGAAAUCUAAAAAAUUGCUUUUUUUCCUUUUUUUUUUUUUUUUGCUUAUAACUGUUGAACAGUUUUGUCAGAAAGUUAUGAUUUCUACGUGUCUAUGUAUUUCUUGUUUCAUGGUGAAUCUGUAAUUAUAUAUGUUUUCUGAACCAUAUCUAUCGUUCAUGUACAUUCUGUUUCUCCUCUUUGUCUUCUUCCGGCUCUGCAUUGCGCUUACUGUACCUUUGGUGCUUGCAGCUAUAUUAUAUUACAUGUAUUUGAUGAGCUGGAUGAUGUGUUGGACCAGCUGCUCUUCUGUUUGUGUUGUUGUUCCUGGUAUAUGUUACAUGGGUUUGGUUUGAGUUCUUCCAUUCGGAUUUCUAAUGGUCAUCUUGUUGUUUAGUUGUUUUAAAGAUCUUUUGAAAGACCUCCUAUUUUGGUCUCCUAUUUAGACAUCUUUUGAGACAAGCUUGAUCAUUCUCUUGGAUGUACAUCUUAGGCUGAUCCCAACGAAAUCAACAAAGUGUUCUCAGAGACCAAACAGAAGGCAAGUAAAAAAAACUCUUUUCUGAUUCUACCAAUUAGUCCCGAGGACAGUGCUUAGAUAAUGAUAUUGUUAAAGGAAUAGUUACCCCCCCAAAAUUAAAAUCUCAGUUUUGAGUCAAAAGUACAUGACAGCAUUUUAAUUUUUGGGUGAACUAUCCCAUUUAGAAAGCUAUUUAGAGUUUUGCAGACCAGCUCAAAGUGAGUUGACAUUUAAAAAUUUUUUUUUUGUUCAAGUUUAGAUUCAUCAGGAUGCAUAAUAUGGAUCAGUGUGAUUUAAGUGAAGAUGUGACUCAGCAGACUGUUUCAUCUCCACUUCGGGACCCCGAACCCAGGGACCCUAGUUGUUGGACUUACUACCACAAACCCAUCUUCAUCUUGAUCGCUGGUGGACUAGCAUUAGCUGCUGGUUUUGUGAUAAUCCUCAACUCUAGAGGAUUAUUUACUAGUAAUUCUACAGACACAAUGCCUGUGGAUGAUGAAAUGGGUCCAUUGUGUCUUUCACUUGGGCUGAUGUUUGCUGUGCUCGGUGUGGUCUGGACACUGAUCAUAAAAGAAAAUGUAAAGCACAAAAGGCGGAUGAUCUAGAAUUAGAUAAAACAGUAGCCAAACAAUGUCACAUGGAAAACCUUUAUGUAAAUAUUACUCGUGUUAACAUUUUUAUUUUUACUUGUUGAUAUAUGAUUGUUGUCAUUUUGACUCGUGUAGUGAGUUAUGAUAGUCAUUUAUCUUCAUGACUGUGAUCCUGAUAAAAGCAUUACUUUACUGCUCAACAUCAAGGUUUGUUCACUUCAGUGUACUUUGAACAUCAUCUGUACAGAUGUACGUCAUGUUUCUCGCAAUCUGUACUUUUAGCAUUGUAGUCCUCUGGACGGACAAGCUGCAGUCUAGUGAUACAAUUCAAUAAAAAAGGACACUAAUAAAUGAUUGUGGCUAUGGAGAAAAAGCAUCCAGGAGUUGGUCGUUGUAAAUGUGCAUUUUGGUUUGCUGUUUUUCACGACAUUUUUGGACUUUUUGUCCUCCUGGUUGGUGUGUUUUGGGACAUCUUUUUCCACGACUUUUUAAUUUACGCUGGAGCUGUGAUUAUUUUCCUGAGUCUCAUCUGGUGGGUGUUUUGGUACACUGGUAAUAUUGAAGUGCCUCCUGAAGAGCUAGAGGAUGACAUUGCUCAAUACAAACGCACUAAAGGAAUUUCAGGCGUCAUGCGUAAAGUGUCCAGCAGUCUCUCCAACGGACUGAGGAAUUCCUUCAGGAGAAGUGGAAGAAUCAACACUCAGGCUGAAGGCUCUCAGGCAAACCGCACAGCCAGAGCAGAUCAACCUGUUACUAUUGCCAUGAGCUCCUAUCUGAAUACACAACCACCUGGGACGACCAACCAUCUGAACCGAGAUCCUUUAGUGAUAUAAUGUACAGUGCUCUGCGGGGAGACCCUCCUCUUCACAUCUGCAUCCAUGCGGCCUAGAAAUGACUUGCCUUUAAGUGCUUUAGAGAUCUUUAGGAUCAUCAGUUUUUUCGGCUACAUUUAUAUAUAAUUGUUCAUACAUAUAUUUUUUAAAAAUAUCGUUUAUGAUUUCCACUUUUAAUCCAGUUAAACUAAAAUAUGUUUGUGUUAUUUAAUAUAAUAUGCUAGUCAAAUAUACUUGAUUUUUAUCAUUUUCAUGUUGUGUUUUUGUGCUAUUUUUACUGUUGUCCUAAUAUAUCUAAUAAGCAGUGCUUGCUUUUAUGUGUUUAUAGCAGUAUCAGGAAUCUAUUAUUUGUGUGUUAUGUAUACAGACUUUUGCAAUUAAAAUAAUUUAAGAACAUA